rnacentral:rRNA from 1 species
GAUGAACGCUGGCGGCGUGCUUAACACAUGCAAGUCGAACGGUGAAGGCGGAGCUUGCUCUGCUGGAUCAGUGGCGAACGGGUGAGUAACACGUGAGCAAUCUGCCCCUGACUCUGGGAUAAGCGCUGGAAACGGCGUCUAAUACUGGAUACGAGCUGCGAAGGCAUCUUCAGCAGCUGGAAAGAAUUUCGGUCAGGGAUGAGCUCGCGGCUUAUCAGCUUGUUGGUGAGGUAAUGGCUCACCAAGGCGUCGACGGGUAGCCGGCCUGAGAGGGUGACCGGCCACACUGGGACUGAGACACGGCCCAGACUCCUACGGGAGGCAGCAGUGGGGAAUAUUGCACAAUGGGCGAAAGCCUGAUGCAGCAACGCCGCGUGAGGGACGACGGCCUUCGGGUUGUAAACCUCUUUUAGCAGGGAAGAAGCGAAAGUGACGGUACCUGCAGAAAAGGCGCGGGCUAACUACGUG